UUUGAAUGGUAUUUGAGAGGAAGCUAAACAAGUUGUUAAUAUUGUAAUUUGAAAAACUUUAUUACAUCUAUUGACUUUGUAAAAACUAGACGAGGAUGUUAACCAUAAGAUUCGCCUGAUGAAGCUGAAAUAAAUCAGCGAAACGUUGCAAUUCUUAUAA